rnacentral:rRNA from 1 species
UACGUAGGGAGCAAGCGUUGUCCGGAUUUACUGGGUGUAAAGGGUGCGUAGGCGGAUUUUUAAGUCAGCGGUAAAAUGUCCGGGCUCAACCCGGGCCGGCCGUUGAAACUGGGGAUCUUGAGUGGGCGAGAAGUAUGCGGAAUGCGUGGUGUAGCGGUGAAAUGCAUAGAUAUCACGCAGAACUCCGAUUGCGAAGGCAGCAUACCGGCGCGCAACUGACGCUCAUGCACGAAAGCGUGGGUAGCAAACAGA